UUUCCGUAGGUGAACCUGCGGAAGGAUCAUUAAAGAGUAAGGGUCUUCGGGCCCGAUCUCCAACCCUUUGUUUAAUUACCAUGUUGCUUUGGCGGGCCCGUCUCACGACCGCCGGAAGUUUGGCUUCGACCAAACUUCUGGCCCGUGCCCGUCAGUGGCCCCUUCAAAUUCUUGAUCAAGUAUGAUGUCUUAGUUAAAAACUUAAUAGUUAAAACUUUCAACAACGGAUCUCUUGGUUCUG
rnacentral:misc_RNA from 1 species